CAGUCGCCGCGGUAAUACGUAGGGUGCAAGCGUUAAUCGGAAUUACUGGGCGUAAAGCGUGCGCAGGCGGUUUUGUAAGACAGAGGUGAAAUCCCCGGGCUCAACCUGGGAACUGCCUUUGUGACUGCAAGGCUAGAGUACGGCAGAGGGGGAUGGAAUUCCGCGUGUAGCAGUGAAAUGCGUAUAUAUGCGGAGGAACACCGAUGGCGAAGGCAAUCCCCUGGGCCUGUACUGACGCUCAUGCACGAAAGCGUGGGGAGCAAACAGGAUUAGAUACACCGGUAGUCCCUGUCUCUUAUAC
rnacentral:rRNA from 1 species